UACGAAGGGGGCUAGCGUUGUUCGGAAUCACUGGGCGUAAAGGGCUCGUAGGCGGCCAACUAAGUCAGACGUGAAAUCCCUCGGCUUAACCGGGGAACUGCGUCUGAUACUGGAUGGCUUGAGUUUGGGAGAGGGAUGCGGAAUUCCAGGUGUAGCGGUAAAAUGCGUAGAUAUCUGGAGGAACACCGGUGGCGAAGGCGGCAUCCUGGACCAACACUGACACUGAGGAGCGAAAGCCAGGGGAGCAAACGGG
rnacentral:rRNA from 1 species